rnacentral:rRNA from 1 species
UACGGGGGGGGCAAGCGUUGUUCGGAAUUACUGGGCGUAAAGGGCUCGUAGGCGGCCAACUAAGUCAGACGUGAAAUCCCUCGGCUUAACCUGGGAACUGCGUCUGAUACUGGGGGGCUUGAGUAUGGGAGAGGGAUGUAGAAUUCCAGGUGUAGCGGUGAAAUGCGUAGAUAUCUGGAGGAAUACCGGUGGCGAAGGCGGCAUCCUGGACCAUAACUGACGCUGAGGCGCGAAAGCUAGGGGAGCAAACGGG